GACCAACCGUCCUGGUUUUCCUGGGACUGAGAGGAUUCCCAGGGUGUGGGACAUUGAGUGCUGAAACUGAGAA
rnacentral:miRNA from 1 species